UACGUAGGUGGCAAGCGUUGUCCGGAAUUAUUGGGCGUAAAGCGCGCGCAGGCGGUCCUUUAAGUCUGAUGUGAAAGCCCACGGCUCAACCGUGGAGGGUCAUUGGAAACUGGGGGACUUGAGUGCAGAAGAGGAAAGCGGAAUUCCAAGUGUAGCGGUGAAAUGCGUAGAGAUGUGGAGGAACACCAGUUGCGAAGGCGGCUUUCUGGUCUGUAACUGACGCUGAGGCGCGAAAGCGUGGGGAGCAAACAGG
rnacentral:rRNA from 1 species